rnacentral:rRNA from 1 species
UGCGUAGGCCGCGCGGAGGGUGGGAUGUGAAAUCCCCCGGCUCAACCGGGGAAUAGCGUCCCAAACCGCCGUGCUCGAGGGAGACAGAGGUGAGCGGAACUGAUGGUGGAGCGGUGAAAUGCGUUGAUAUCAUCAGGAACACCAGUGGCGAAGGCGGCUCACUGGGUCUUUCCUAACGCUGAGGCACGAAAGCUAGGGGAGCGAACGGGAUUAGAUACCCCGGUAGUCCUAGCCUUAAACGAUGAGCACUUGAUUGGAGGGAUGGUCACGUCCUUCCGGUCGUAGCGAAAGUGUUAAGUGCUCCGCCUGGGGAGUAUGGUCGCAAGGCUGAA